AUUGAACGCUGGCGGAAUGCUUUACACAUGCAAGUCGAACGACAGCACGGGGCAACCUGGUGGCGAGUGGCGAACGGGUGAGUAAUACAUCGGAACGUGCCCAAUCGUGGGGGAUAACGUAGCGAAAGUUACGCUAAUACCGCAUACGAUCUACGGAUGAAAGCGGGGGAUCGCAAGACCUCGCGCGAAUGGAGCGGCCGAUGUCAGAUUAGGUAGUUGGUGGGGUAAAGGCUCACCAAGCCAACGAUCUGUAGCUGGUCUGAGAGGACGACCAGCCACACUGGAACUGAGACACGGUCCAGACUCCUACGGGAGGCAGCAGUGGGGAAUUUUGGACAAUGGGCGCAAGCCUGAUCCAGCAAUGCCGCGUGCAGGAUGAAGGCCUUCGGGUUGGUAAACUAGCUUUUGUACGGAACGAAAAGACUUCGGGCUAAUACCCUGAAGUCAUGACGGUACCGUAAGAAUAAGACACCGGCUAACUACGUGCCAGCAGCCGCGGUAA
rnacentral:rRNA from 1 species